CCACCUCCACCGAUCCACCAUUCCACCUCCGGUGUCCAAUCCGCAACGACUCCACCUCCGCUCUAACGAUGCUGGUGCUUCUAGCCUUCUACGUCUUCUACCUUUGAAUUUCAAAGAAACAAGCUAUUUAGUGAGGCAGAAAAAACAGCAGGCCUAGGCAGGUUGCUAUCACUAUCUCACACCCUUUCCUUCGAAACAAUCAACCUUUGCGACUUUUCCUAAAUGAUGUGUGUUUUUUUAGUAUUACUUAAAGACAUGUGACAAGUUUGAUCUUGUAUCACAAGGCUAGCAUAGUUAAAUAACUAGUUUAUUAUCUCAUGCAAUAUAUGAGUUCAGUAUUAUACUAUUAUAUAAUAUGUAUUUAUUUUUAUAUGAAAAUGGUCGAAUAUCAUUUUAUCC